ACGCUGGCGGCAGGCCUAACACAUGCAAGUCGAGCGGUAGAGAGAAGCUUGCUUCUCUUGAGAGCGGCGGACGGGUGAGUAAUGCCUAGGAAUCUGCCUGGUAGUGGGGGAUAACGUUCGGAAACGGACGCUAAUACCGCAUACGUCCUACGGGAGAAAGCAGGGGACCUUCGGGCCUUGCGCUAUCAGAUGAGCCUAGGUCGGAUUAGCUAGUUGGUGAGGUAAUGGCUCACCAAGGCGACGAUCCGUAACUGGUCUGAGAGGAUGAUCAGUCACACUGGAACUGAGACACGGUCCAGACUCCUACGGGAGGCAGCAGUGGGGAAUAUUGGACAAUGGGCGAAAGCCUGAUCCAGCCAUGCCGCGUGUGUGAAGAAGGUCUUCGGAUUGUAAAGCACUUUAAGUUGGGAGGAAGGGCAGUUACCUAAUACCGUGAUUGUUUUGACGUUACCGACAGAAUAAGCACCGGCUAACUCUGUGCCAGCAGCCGCGGUAAUACAUAGGGUGCAAGCGUUAAUCGGAAUUACUGGGCGUAAAGCGUGCGCAGGCGGUUUUGUAAGUCUGAUGUGAAAUCCCCGGGCUCAACCUGGGAAUUGCAUUGGAGACUGCAAGGCUAGAAUCUGGCAGAGGGGGGUAGAAUUCCACGUGUAGCAGUGAAAUGCGUAGAUAUGUGGAGGAACACCGAUGGCGAAGGCAGCCCCCUGGGUCAAGAUUGACGCUCAUGCACGAAAGCGUGGGGAGCAAAC
rnacentral:rRNA from 1 species